CCCGCCGUAGCUCAGCGGCAGAGCGCCCGGCUGUAGACCGGGUGGUCGAGGGUUCGAAUCCCUCCGGCGGGACCA
rnacentral:tRNA from 1 species